AGUGAACGCUGGCGGUAGGCCUAACACAUGCAAGUCGAACGGCAGCGCAGUAAGAGCUUGCUCUUACGGGUGGCGAGUGGCGGACGGGUGAGGUAUACAUCGGAAUCUACUUUUUCGUGGGGGAUAACGUAGGGAAACUUACGCUAAUACCGCAUACGACCUACGGGUGAAAGCAGGGGAUCUUCGGACCUUGCGCGAUUGAAUGAGCCGAUGUCGGAUUAGCUAGUUGGCGGGGUAAAGGCCCACCAAGGCGACGAUCCGUAGCUGGUCUGAGAGGAUGAUCAGCCACACUGGAACUGAGACACGGUCCAGACUCCUACGGGAGGCAGCAGUGGGGAAUAUUGGACAAUGGGCGCAAGCCUGAUCCAGCCAUACCGCGUGGGUGAAGAAGGCCUUCGGGUUGUAAAGCCCUUUUGUUGGGAAAGAAAAGCAGCAGGUUAAUACCCCGCUGUUCUGACGGUACCCAAAGAAUAAGCACCGGCUAACUUCGUG
rnacentral:rRNA from 1 species